rnacentral:rRNA from 1 species
UACGUAGGGUGCGAGCGUUGUCCGGAAUUACUGGGCGUAAAGAGCUCGUAGGUGGUUUGUCGCGUUGUCCGUGAAAACUCACAGCUUAACUGUGGGCGUGCGGGCGAUACGGGCAGACUGGAGUACUGCAGGGGAGACUGGAAUUCCUGGUGUAGCGGUGGAAUGCGCAGAUAUCAGGAGGAACACCGGUGGCGAAGGCGGGUCUCUGGGCAGUAACUGACGCUGAGGAGCGCAAGCGUGGGGAGCGAACAGG